ACAAUUGAUAUUAGUCCACCACAACAAGGGAUGGUGCAUGACGGUAAAUAUGGUACACCGGAAGUAGACUUUCAGCCAGAUUUAGAACUAUUUGCACACUGGGAAGGUUUCUUUGAUAGAGAGAGUGGAGUGAAAUUUUAUCAGUAUGGGUUUUCCACGUCUUGUUUGGGUGCCAAUAAAUUUCAACUGGAUCUUGCAAAUAGACAGGAUGUUCAACAGACUACAUCUACGCAUGCUUCUUGGACAGCACCGUCUGGUGGUAAAUAUUACAUCACCGUGGUAGCAUAUAACCGAGCUUUAGAAGUAUCUGUACCAGUUUGUUCUGAUGGAGUGGUUGUAGAUAGAACAUUACCUACUAUAAGUGAAAUAGAUAUAGAAGGGGCCAGAAUUAAAGGUGGUUUAAUAAAAGAAAAUAAUCAAGUAUAUUAUAUAUCAAAUACAAGACGCAAAUAUUUACUUAAAGACCCAGAUGCAGCUUGUAUGAGAAAAGCCAAAACGGUCGAAGUUACUUAUCUUUUUCCUAUUGAGAGGUUUUCCAAUGGUACAAUACAUACAUAUCCGGCGAAUAUGUUUUGUGAUGAAAACCCAA